UACAGUUGUAUAAAUCGUCCACCCUUUGGAUGAAAAGCAAAUGAUUUAUCCGGAUUUUGUUCAUCCGAAACUAAAUCACUAGUAUCAACAUCCGGUGUAAUUUUUGCUUGUAUUUUGGAGAAACUCGAUUGAUUUCUAGCAAACUUGGUUUACCACUACUGUACAUCGUCGCUUAUUAUUAUUUGGUUUAUUGCGAGUGUCAUGGAAAGCUGGAACUUUUCAGUACACAACAUGCAAACUGAGAAUGAACUGUGUGUGCCGGCUUUGUGAACAAAAACGCAAGGCGGCUAUGAUACACUGUGUUGUGUGUGGAUAAGAAAUGCAGAGUGGUACCACCAAUUACCUAAGCCAC